rnacentral:rRNA from 1 species
UGGGGAAUAUUGGGCAAUGGACGCAAGUCUGACCCAGCAACGCCGCGUGAAGGAAGAAGGCUUUCGGGUUGUAAACUUCUUUUAAGGGGGAAGAGCAGAAGACGGUACCCCUUGAAUAAGCCACGGCUAACUACGUGCCAGCAGCCGCGGUAAUACGUAGGUGGCAAGCGUUGUCCGGAUUUACUGGGUGUAAAGGGCGUGCAGCCGGGAAGACAAGUCAGAUGUGAAAUCCCGCGGCUCAACCGCGGAACUGCAUUUGAAACUGUUUUUCUUGAGUAUCGGAGAGGUCAUCGGAAUUCCUAGUGUAGCGGUGAAAUGCGUAGAUAUUAGGAAGAACACCAGUGGCGAAGGCGGAUGACUGGACGACAACUGACGGUGAGGCGCGAAAGCGUGGGGAGCAAACAGGAUUAGAUACCC